rnacentral:pre_miRNA from 1 species
AAAGUUACCUUAAAUGGAAGCAUACAUUUUUUUGCUGAAAGAAUAAGUGCUUCUCUUUGGGGUAGCCAUA